rnacentral:rRNA from 1 species
GACGAACGCUGGCGGCGUGCCUAAUACAUGCAAGUAGAACGCUGAAGGAGGAGCUUGCUUCUCCGGAUGAGUUGCGAACGGGUGAGUAACGCGUAGGUAACCUGCCUGGUAGCGGGGGAUAACUAUUGGAAACGAUAGUUAAUACCGCAUAACAGUAGAUAUUGCAUGAUAUCUGCUUGAAAGGUGCAAUUGCAUCACUACCAGAUGGACCUGCGUUGUAUUAGCUAGUUGGUGAGGUAACGGCUCACCAAGGCGACGAUACAUAGCCGACCUGAGAGGGUGAUCGGCCACACUGGGACUGAGACACGGCCCAGACUCCUACGGGAGGCAGCAGUAGGGAAUCUUCGGCAAUGGACGGAAGUCUGACCGAGCAACGCCGCGUGAGUGAAGAAGGUUUUCGGAUCGUAAAGCUCUGUUGUAAGAGAAGAACGAGUGUGAGAGUGGAAAGUUCACACUGUGACGGUAUCUUACCAGAAAGGGACGGCUAACUACGUG